rnacentral:rRNA from 1 species
AUUGAACGCUGGCGGCAGGCUUAACACAUGCAAGUCGAACGAGUGGCGGACGGGUGAGUAAUGCGUGGGAAUCUAGCUUAUGGAGGGGGAUAACUACGGGAAAAUGUAGCGAAUAACGCGUACCCUAGGAUGAGCCCAUGUGGGAUUAGGUAGUUGGUGGGGUAAAGGCUCACCAAGCCGACGAUCUAUAGCUGGUCUGAGGGGAGGACCAGCCACACUUGGACUGAGACACGGCCCAGACUCCUACGGUAGGCAGCAUGGGGGAAUAUUGCGAUAGGGGGGCACCCUGACGCGUCCAUGCCGCGUGAAUGAAGAAGGCCUUCGGUUUGUAAAGUUCUUUCGGUAGCGAGGCGUUAUCUUCAGAAGAAGCACCGGCUAACUCCGUGCCAGCAGCCGCGGUAAUAC